rnacentral:lncRNA from 1 species
AUGAUAAAUGAAACGUCUGAAAAGACAACGGGAAGAAAAGAUGAAGUGCUACUGUUGAAGUGGAGGGUGCAAGAGGGACGUUGUUAUCCCUUCUGCUGUAAAAACCAAGGAAAGUUGGAACCAAUGAUCACUAAGGCAACAGAAGGACAGGCAAGUUCUUCUUUUGUUCCUAUCGGGAACAUGAAAGAAAAUUUGAAGACCAUGUACUGAAGAGUAAUCUACAAAUCUUGCAAAGAGCAGAAUGUUGCAGUGACCCUAGAAGGAUAAUUACUGGGGGUUACAGCAGGGAUAUUUUCGUAUUUCACAGUCAAUAUGAAAGGAAAAAGUGUUACAUCUUUGUUUAGGUAUAAACAGUUCUUUUGUUGAAAUAAAUAAAAUUAUCUCAUUUUCUGUAGACCA